rnacentral:rRNA from 1 species
GAUGAACGCUGGCGGCGUGCCUAAUACAUGCGAGUCGAGCGAACAGACGAGGAGCUUGCUCCUCUGACGUUAGCGGCGGACGGGUGAGUAACACGUGGAUAACCUACCUAUAAGACUGGGAUAACUUCGGGAAACCGGAGCUAAUACCGGAUAAUAUAUUGAACCGCAUGGUUCAAUAGUGAAAGACGGUUUUGCUGUCACUUAUAGAUGGAUCCGCGCCGCAUUAGCUAGUUGGUAAGGUAACGGCUUACCAAGGCAACGAUGCGUAGCCGACCUGAGAGGGUGAUCGGCCACACUGGAACUGAGACACGGUCCAGACUCCUACGGGAGGCAGCAGUAAGGAAUCUUCCGCAAUGGGCGAAAGCCUGACGGAGCAACGCCGCGUGAGUGAUGAAGGUCUUCGGAUCGUAAAACUCUGUUAUUAGGGAAGAACAAAUGUGUAAGUAACUAUGCACGUCUUGACGGUACCUAAUCAGAAAGCCACGGCUAACUACGUG